rnacentral:lncRNA from 1 species
AUGGGUUUUCGUUUACCUAGUAUUCGACGAUCAUCAUCUAGCAAACAAGUGGAAGUGCCGAAAGGCUAUCUUGCAGUGUAUGUUAGAGAGAAAGCAAGGAGGUUCAUGAUUCCACUAUCAUUCUUGAACGAACCUUUAUUUCUGGAAUUGCUUAGCCAAGCUGAAGAGGAAUUUGGUUACUGUCAUUCAAUGGGUGGUCUUACAAUUCCAUGCAAGGAAGACAUCUUCGUACAUACAACUUCUUGCUUGAACAACCUAUAA